rnacentral:rRNA from 1 species
CCCUUAGAUGUCCUGGGCUGCACGCGCGCUACACUGGAAGUUACGGAUUGAGAUACUACCUUGUCCGAAAUGGUCCGGGUAAUCACCUAAAAGCUUGUCAUAAUUGGAAUGGAUUAUUGUAACUAGUAAUCCUGAACGAGGAAUUCCUAGUAAGUCCCAGUCGACAGCUGGUACUGAUUACGUCCCUGCCCUUUGUACACACCGCCCGUCGCUACUACUGAUUGGACGUUUAAGCAAGAUUUUUAAACACUGACAGUGUGUAGUUCACGCUAUACUACAGUGAGAAGAAGAAGAUCGAGCUUACUUGUCUAGAGGAAGUAAAAGUCGUAACA